UACGGAGGGGGCUAGCGUUGUUCGGAAUUACUGGGCGUAAAGCGCGCGUAGGCGGCUUUGUAAGUCAGAGGUGAAAGCCUGGAGCUCAACUCCAGAACUGCCUUUGAGACUGCAUCGCUAGAAUCAUGGAGAGGUUAGUGGAAUUCCGAGUGUAGAGGUGAAAUCCGUAGAUAUUCGGAAGAACACCAGUGGCGAAGGCGACUUACUGGACACAUAUUGACGCUGAGGUGCGAAAGCGUGGGGAGCAAACAGG
rnacentral:rRNA from 1 species